UGGGGAAUUUUGGACAAUGGGGGCAACCCUGAUCCAGCCAUGCCGCGUGAGUGAAGAAGGCCUUCGGGUUGUAAAGCUCUUUCGGCGGGGAAGAAAUGGCAACGGCUAAUAUCCGUUGUUGAUGACGGUACCCGCAUAAGAAGCACCGGCUAACUACGUGCCAGCAGCCGCGGUAAUACGUAGGGUGCGAGCGUUAAUCGGAAUUACUGGGCGUAAAGCGUGCGCAGGCGGUUUCGUAAGACAGACGUGAAAUCCCCGGGCUCAACCUGGGAACUGCGUUUGUGACUGCGAGGCUAGAGUACGGCAGAGGGGGGUAGAAUUCCACGUGUAGCAGUGAAAUGCGUAGAGAUGUGGAGGAAUACCGAUGGCGAAGGCAGCCCCCUGGGUUAGUACUGACGCUCAUGCACGAAAGCGUGGGGAGCAAACAGGAUUAGAUACCCUGGUAGUCCACGCCCUAAACGAUGUCAACUAGGUGUUGGAAGGGUUAAACCUUUUAGUACCGCAGCUAACGCGUGAAGUUGACCGCC
rnacentral:rRNA from 1 species